GAUGAACGCUAGCGGCAGGCCUAAUACAUGCAAGACGAACGGUAAGUUGAGUAGCAAUACUUAGCCAAGAGUGUCGUACGGGUGCGUAACACGUAUGCAACCUACCCUAUACAGGAGGAUAGCCUAGGGAAACCUGGAUUAACCCUUCAUAGUAUUAUUGGAUGGCAUCAUUUGAUAAUUAAAACUGAGGUGGUAUAGGAUGGGCAUGCGUCUGAUUAGUUAGUUGGCGGGGUAAUGGCCCACCAAGACGAUGAUCAGUAGGGGUUCUGAGAGGAAGAUCCCCCACACUGGCACUGAGAUACGGGCCAGACUCCUACGGGAGGCAGCAGUAGGGAAUAUUGGUCAAUGGAUGCAAGUCUGAACCAGCCAUGCCGCGUGCAGGAAGAAGGCCUUCUGGGUUGUAAACUGCUUUGCCAGGGGAUAAAAUUUCCAUGCGUGGAAAACUGAAGGUACCUGGUGAAUAAGCCACGGCUAACUACGUGCCAGCAGCCGCGGUAAUC
rnacentral:rRNA from 1 species